CUAUAUAAUUAUAAUUUAAUUUGAUCAAUACGUUGUUCCAUCGUUGAACGAUGAUCGGUAGUGGAGUUUAAAGAUUCCGCUUCGUUUUAGUAACCAAGUUAAAAUAUUUCGGAGGCUCUGCACAAUGCACAUUACAUAUACAACAAAAUUCUUCAACUUUUGUAGGCUGUGCAUUGUGUUUUAAAUAAAUUUAGUAACAUGUGGUGUACUAAAUUGUAAAUAUGUUUUAGUCUUUAUAAAAAAAACUAGGCUGUGAAAACACUCGUGUUCGACGUAGUAUUAUCGAGUUUAAUAACGACGAUACUGCUAUAAAAAUAUGCUCGUGGAGUGCAAAAUAAAAUAAAAAUAUUUUAAAGGAAUUUUGCCGAAACUAUAAGUUUAUUCCUUAAUUUUCUCGAAUCAUUUUAAAAAUAAGUCUCGUGAGAUUUGUAUACCAUUCAGGUGAGAAAAACCGAUACAAAACAUUUUAUGCAUUUCCACUGUUUAUAAGAUGUAUACAAAAUAUUUGAUGAAAUUAACAAUCAUGAAUGUUUGAAAAAACAAUUAUCUGAUAUCGAAAGCAACAACACAAGGACCAGAACGACCAGGUGAUAACGGUGUUUUCAGUGUUCAAGCUCAAAAGAUAUUCUAUAUAAAAUCCGGAUUGAAGUCCAAGUGAUGGGGGAAUAGAUUGGGGAACUUACCGAAGUCUGUAUUAGAAUUGUAAUUGCAGUUUGGAUUAUGCCUGUAGUUACUGAUGACCCUGGUCCUAAUUUAAACAGUUUAAUUGGAUAUUGUGCAGGAAUUCUAUUCAAAUGUGCUGGAUUUAAAAGUAAGUUUG